GAUCUUUGCCCUCUCUAGUUUAGGGAAAGUAAAUGGGACCCUUCCCUCUCCACGAACGAAGAACGUAGAUUUGAUAUUCUCGUUCAGGUCUCGUUCCUACCGGUGGUGAUCUCGUCGUAGACCUAAUCGUCGGGAAAUUCCACUAUCUUCUGAUCAUUCGAUCCUCUUCCUCUUCUCUGCUCUAGAACCUAUCUUCUUCUUCAUCUAUGUUUGUUAACAGACUUUAUCUUUAGCCCUUAUUUUGCAUAUUUUUCUCUCCCUACUUGCUUAGCUACAUAUCCAAGUGACGACUUAGAAUCAGAACUCAAAAAUGGUGAAGCAGUAGUAUGGUCCAAAGUCAAAGUUGUGGAUGUUGAUGGGUCUCGUUCUAAAGGAAUUGCAAUAUUCUUGAGAAAAUUCGGGGUUAUGCUUUUCUCGAUGUGAUACUUAGUUGGAAAGCACAACAGAGUAUGUCGUUUCAUGUCAAGUUACGAUAUAUACUGAAGGUUGUUUCAGCUGCUGCUUGGGUGAUAGUUCUUCCGGUUAUUUAUGCUUAUACUUGGGAAAAUCCUCCUGGAUUUGCUCAAACCAUCAGAAGUUGGUUCAGAAACAAUUCAAAUUCACCUUCUUUGUUUAUUUUGGUUGUUGUUAUCUAAUUGUCUCCAAAUAUGCUGGCUGGAGUAUUGUUUUGUUUCCUUUCAUCCGUUGUUUCCUUGAGAGAUCAAACUAUAGAAUUAUGAUGCUAAUGAUGUUGUGGUCUCACGUAAGCAAAAUUAUGCUAUUUAUUUUCACAUCUUUCAGAUUUUUGAGAUUGCCACUUGCAUGUUGAAUUUCUGUUCAAUUGUAGCCUCGCCUCUAUGUUGGCAGGGGAAUGCAUGAGAGUAUAUUUUCUCUUUUCAAGUAUACUAUGUUUUGGGUUCUCCUUAUAAUCACAAAGCUGGCAUUCGUUACUAUAUAGAGAUAAAGCCUCUAGUAGGUCCGACAAAAGCUAUCAUGGAAGUACAUAUAUCUACUUUUCAGUGGCAUGAGUUAUUUCCCCGUGUGUUUGUGCAGCAAAAAAUAAUAUUGGUGUUGUUAUAGCACUUUGGGCUCCAAUUAUUCUUGUCUAUUUUAUGGAUACCCAGAUUUGGUAUGCAAUAUUCUCUAUGUUAUUUGGUGGUAUUCAUGGAGCAUUCUGUCGUCUUGGAGAGGUUCAUACGUUCUUUCUUAUGAAUUUCGUUGUAGCUUUUUUACCCAUUUAAUAGUUGUAAUCUCUGCUUGGUGGUUCUUCCUGCACCAAAAGAUUACAAGAUAAUCUUUAACGUUGCUAAAUAAAUGUUUUGAUUGCUAGAUAUGACCCCAAUAAAUUUGGUUCUUAAGCAUCUCUGUAACGACUCAAAUUUACUAAUAAGGCUUAAGGGCCUUGAUUAGUGUGCCGGGAGGACAUAACUGGAUUAUGUGUGAUUUAAAUGAUUAAAUGCAUGAUUAUAUGAUAAGCAUGCUUAUAUAAUUAUUUGGAUAUAUGUGAUGUAUGAUUAUGUGUACUAGUAUGCAUGUAGGCCCUGAUUAGGUUAGAAAGGCAUAUUCGUAAUUUUGGCCUGUCGAGGGCAUACGUGUUAAUAUUUGUGAUAAAUUGUUGAGACCACAUUAUUAUGUGGAUAUAUUCGCAGCUUGUGACUCGAGGCGAUCCUAGUGAGCGGUUUAGCGGAAAAGUCACAGUGGGGAUUUAUACCCGGCUCGUGGGAGUCUAGGGGUAUUUCUGGGAAUUUGGGAAGUAUAUUGGAGAUUAUUUGAUAUUGAGGAAUAUAAUUGGUGAUUAGUUAGGUGUCGGAAAGUAAGCGGUAAAUAUUAAAGACACUCGAGGAAUUAGUGGAAAUUGGGAGUAAUGACCAAAAUGCCUUUAGAAUGAUUUAAAGGUUUAGUUAUUAUUGGGAGGGCAAUGUGGUCAUUUGGCUUAAUAAGGGAUAAGUAUUACUCUGCCUUUUAACACUUAGUGGAAUGUUUAGAAACUAAAGGAAGCUGAAAAAGAAAAGAAAAGAAGAAGGAAGGAAGGAUAAACAGAACUCUUAGGCUAACCCUUUUCUCUCAUUCGGUUGGCCAUUCUUCUUCAUUUCUUGAGGAUUUUCUGGAGCUGUAACUCAGGGAGAGCUUGGGCUAGAGCUUGGAGUUAGGGACCUUGAUUAAGCUUGAGGAUUAGCAGAGGUUACUCACCCAAUUAAGGGAGUUAAGCCUGAGGAUUUGAGGAGUUGAAAGCUGAGGAGGUGUGGAAGAUAACCUAGGUUAAAAUUCUCCAUUGAAGGUGUACGCUAAGGCUCGGAAGGGAUCGUGCUUAAGGGUCGGUUUCAUUGAUUAAAGCUAACGGAAUCGGUUUCAUUGAUUAAAGCUAACGGAAUCAAA